rfam:Cryptococcus amylolentus CBS 6039 supercont1.15, whole genome shotgun sequence.
GUUGCUAUAGCUCAUUGGUAGAGCGUGAUACUGUUAAUAUCGAGAAGGAAGUUCGAUUCUUCCUAGCGACU